GGACACUCACAAGUGCCUCUUUUUAGAAUGACUUUGCUCCUGCCAGAACAGUUAUAAAACGGCUAUAGAGUUUAAAAACAUAGUUGUGAAUAAGAUCAACAUAGUCCCUGUCUUGAGCAGAAAAAAAAAUUAACGUAGCUAUGAUAAAAUUAUAAAGCCAAUUGCAGGUGGUUCUGUAAAAAUAAUAAACGAUGGAAGAUUGGAAAAAAAAAAAAAACAAACAAACCACUGUUGGAUGAUUGCAGUAAGUUUCCUGGGGAGCCAGGCAGUGGUGGUGCACACCUUUUUAAAUGAACUCAGCUGGGACUAGAGAGGUAGCUCAGUUGGUGGAAUGCUUGCCUCCGCAUGCAGUAAGCCUUGGGGUCAUCUCCCAAACCACAUGAAACCGGAUGUGGUAGCGCACACGUGUAACAGCAGUGCCUGGGAGAUGGGGACAGGAAGAUCAGAAGUUCACGCCAGCCUGGGUUGUGUGAGACCCUGUCUCAGGAGAUAAAGAUAAGGAGCUAGAGAGCAACUCGUUGUUGCUCUUGCAGAGGACCUCAGUGGAGGUCCCAGCAGCCACAUCAAGGGCUCACCACUGCCUCUAUCUCCAGUUCCGGGACCAGACACUUGUCUGAAGGGGGAUGCCAGCACACCUACGUUAUAAUGUUCACACAGUCACAUACUCAUAACU
rnacentral:lncRNA from 1 species